AGUGGCUGACCAGUGGCUGACCAGUGGCUGACCGGUGGCUGACCAGUGGCUGACCAUCGGGUUAGUCACAGAUUUACAGAAAACAUUUUUAACAAGGUAAGAAGAUUAAGCGUCACCAAUCCAUAAGUAGGUUCUCCUCAGAGUGGCGGCGUUGUGUGGUCUCACCUGCAGGCUGAUGGUGCCACCCUGGGUCAGCGGCGCGGCGCAGAGCAGGAGGUGCAGAGAGGAAAGGCAGCAGCAGAACAGGACGACCCGCAUCAUGCCGUCCCUCAGGAGCCGGAGCCGAAUCUGGAGCUGCAGGAGCAACGGAGAGGCAGGCAACGCUCCAGCAGCAGCUCCUCCUGCUCACACACCGUUAACCCUUCAGUCCCCACAGCCAGCCACGGCGCCAGGAAGCUCCAACAGAGCUCCGAUCAGCUCCCAUGAACUCAAUUCAUUCAUGAAUUUAUUCUGCUGUUAAUAACAGGUUUAAUCUGCAUUUUGUUCUGAUGUGAACCUGGUUUCCAUCAAGACUCAGGAGGAAGCCUCUCCUCUCUAUAAACAAGAUGGUGGCAGGACCAGAAGAGCUAAUUACAGACCAGACAGACAUGAGAUUCAGGAGCUGCAACAUCUGGAGCAGCCACCAGGGGGCAGCACUGACUGGAAGGCGACCAUGAAACCACUAGCCCUGAA